GAUGAACGCUGGCGGCGUGCCUAAUACAUGCAAGUCGAGCGAACGGACGAGAAGCUUGCUUUUCUGAUGUUAGCGGCGGACGGGUGAGUAACACGUGGAUAACCUACCUAUAAGACUGGGAUAACUUCGGGAAACCGGAGCUAAUACAGGAUAAUAUUUUGAACGGCAUGGUUCAAAAGUGAACGACGGUCUUGCUGUCACUUAUAGAUGGAUCCGCGCUGCAUUAGCUAGUUGGUAAGGUAACGGCUUACCAAGGCAACGAUGCAUAGCCGACCUGAGAGGGUGAUCGGCCACACUGGAACUGAGACACGGUCCAGACUCCUACGGGAGGCAGCAGUAGGGAAUCUUCGGCAAUGGGCGAAAGCCUGACGGAGCAACGCCGCGUGAGUGAUGAAGGUCUUCGGAUCGUAAAACUCUGUUAUUAGGGAAGAACAUAUGUGUAAGUAACUGUGCACAUCUUGACGUUACCUAAUCAGAAAGCCACGGCUAACUACGUG
rnacentral:rRNA from 1 species